UACGGAGGGGGCUAGCGUUGUUCGGAAUUACUGGGCGUAAAGCGCGCGUAGGCGGCUUUGUAAGUUAGAGGUGAAAGCCCGGAGCUCAACUCCGGAAUUGCCUUUAAGACUGCAUCGCUAGAAUCAUGGAGAGGUGAGUGGAAUUCCGAGUGUAGAGGUGAAAUUCGUAGAUAUUCGGAAGAACACCGGUGGCGAAAGCGCCUUGCUGGACCUGCACUGACACUGAGGGACGAAAGCUAGGGGAGCGAAAGGG
rnacentral:rRNA from 1 species